rnacentral:lncRNA from 1 species
GAAUUCUACUCUUUCUUUUUUAAAGGCGGCCUUCAUGAGGAGCCUGAUGUGGGCAUCAUGGUGGGGAUUAGCUGCAUAGCAAAAGAUAGUUUGUUUUCUGACUUAUCGAAUUUUCGAUCCUUUUCCAUUUUUGAUGACGAUACGUUCAAUCCAUACUUUGGACUAACCACAACGGAUGUAAAAUGGAUCCUUGCCAAGACGAAAUCGCAGUUGACUAUCAAAAAAUUAUUGAAUGGUACGACGGUUACAUAUUUGACAAUGUAACUAUUUUUAACCCAUUUUCAGUUGUUCAUGCUAUUCAUCAAAAUGAAUUUAAAGAAUAUUGGGGACUCUCUGGAUCCACAAAGAUGAUUAAAACUCUAAUUGACUACUCAGGCAGUGGGGGAAUGCAGGAUAUGUUUUUCCUCCUGUCUGGGCGUAGCUUGACUAAACAAAUCGAACCAUAUUUAAUUUACCCGGAUUUUUUUAAAAAGGAAGAAGCAUAUUGGGGCCUACUGGCCACUGCUGGGUACAUUAAUGUCGUUAAAACGAAUGAAACUAACAUUUACACAAUUAAAAUCCCCAAUAAAGAAGUUAGGGAAUACCUUCGGGCCCAGUUUCCUACCCAAUUAGUGAAAGAAGAGAAAGAAUACGGUGAGUUUUUGACCGCAUUCAAUAGCUUGGAAAAAAAUGAAACCGAAAAUUUAAAAAAGAGUCUCGAGACUAAAUACAACGCUUGGAUCAGCCCUUAUGUUAAUUUAGACGUGAAUGCAUCGAUAGAGAAUUUUGGAAAACAUUUGGAAUCAUUGCUGACUGCCGUGCCAAAGGACAAAGUCGCGUCAGACACUUUCAUGGCGAAUGGCACAUUAGUUUACCAAACCAUAAUUAAAAAAUCCGAAUUUUUAUUCAUGUUUAAUUGCGCGAGGUCGAACGCCAAAACUCCUGACACCUUAUCGGAACAAACUACUCAGCUGUUGCGUCUACCUCUAAGCAAAGGAAACACAUCAUUCUUGAAAAAGCUGUUGGGCACAGGGAAACAGUCGAUUGAAAAAGUUUUUAUAUUAGCACUGUCGAUAGCAAAUCGCCUUUCAGAUGAUCUUGUAAAGCAAGUACCAUCGAUUAUGAUCAAAGAGCUUGUAAUAAAUCAAAUAAUCGAAUUCACGAAGCGUCAUUUUUUUGGAUGAAAAGAAUUCCGAGUGGAAAACUAAA